CACAAAAUGUAAAGAUGUUAAUAAUAACAAGAGAGAGAGAGGAUUUGAAAUAUGUAUUGAGAUGAAAGAAUGGGACCUUUGCAGGUAAUGACUUGUCCUUGAGUAGCCAUGGAGGAGAAGAGAAAAGAGCUGAGAUUGGUUCAAUGAGAUAUGGACACUAACGCAGUCUAUGAUACGAGAGUAUAUUAUGCAGGUCGCUCCUAAAAAUCGAUCGGACACCAAGAGCACGGAGGAGAGCAGACAAUCAUCUAGGAAGAAGAGUUGAGCAGGAGUCAUCCUCGUCCCAUUCAGCAGAAACAUUUUGGCGCUCGUCGUGGGGCUUGAGCUACAUCCCGUGUAAUCACGAGGAACCAGAUGAGCGCUUGGUCUCAACAUCGUUGCUUUGGUUAUAAAAAUUUCAUCACCUACAUCUUAUUCUCAUACUAUUUAUCACUAAGUGCAAGGUUAUAAAAAAUUGUUUUUACAAAAGCCAAUAUAAGAACAGAUAAGUCCAAAACUCUAUAUUUGCUUUCAAAAUAUGGAUGAACUUUUUCUGAUAUAUAUAUUUCAAGGGGAGAAAAUGAAUCCCUUUCUUUUUGCUUUUGAGAUUUAGUUUGCUUUAUUGUCCUUAGCUACAGUUGGAAGAAAUUAUCAGAACAUUUUUAAUUCACAACAUGUCGGAGAAGGAGCGGAAAAUCUCGUCGGCAUGGGUGGCAUGGGAUGCAGUGCAUAACUCAUUGUUAACCACUACAAGCUGAGGAACAACAUCAAGAGCUACAACCUGGGCGACAUGGGAUGCAGUGCAGAACUCAUUUCUAUUGACCUGGCUAAGGACCUUCUCAAAGUCAACCCUAACUCCUACACCCUGGUGCUCAAUAUAGAGAACAUAACCCUCAAUUAGUACUUCGGUGACGAUUACUCCAUGCUCCUCUACAACUACAUUUUCCGAAUGGGUAGCACCGCCAUCCUCCUCUCCAUCUACUAAAUAACCUUUAUGUUUGAGUGCAAAAAAAAAUGAUAAAUUAAUUGAUGAACUGGCCACUUACUUUCCUCAUGAAAAAAAGGGUAUUUUUAAAUUCAAUAGUGAAUGCUGGAAGAUUUUCAAUGUACUUCAUACGAAAUGCUUUCUUAUUUGUCUCCA